rnacentral:lncRNA from 1 species
CAUUAAUCAGAAUUCCAAUAUGUUAUAUACUUUGCAAAAUUAUGAAAACAAUAUAUAAUUUUCAUAUAAAUUUCAAGUUCACUUUAAUAAUAAAAAGGUUUUAAGAUUUUCGAUAUUUGGUUUGAUAGAUCUAUUCCAGUUAUUCGAAUGUGUUGUCCUCGCUAGCCAUAAUUAUGUUUACAAUGUAUUAACUUUGCGCAAGGUGUAAAUCUCGGACAUUUACAUUUACUAAAGCAAAAUAAGAAAUGAAACUAUCAGAAAAUUACACAAAAACUGUUCACACAAGGGUAAAUAGUGCUUGCUCCAAUAGAAGUAGUAGUAUUUAUCGUAUUUCUCAAUUGAAGAAUAUUUCGGUCAUCAUCAUACUGUCACUGUUAAAAUGUAGUGUAUAAAAUAAAUGAGAUUUGUUGAAACUGUUUCAGAAAAAAACAGACAAAAGUCCUGUUUAAGACCUUAAGCUUCCAAACCAGUUGAAUUCUACGACCGUAAUAAACCAAAAACUACAUAAUUAUUGAAACCAUAAUUUCAGUAUUAAAAACUUUAAAGCAUGUAAAAAGCCAGUUGCAUUUACACUUUUUUGAAGUUACUAAUUAAAC